rnacentral:rRNA from 1 species
UGGGGAAUAUUGCACAAUGGGCGAAAGCCUGAUGCAGCAACGCCGCGUGAGUGAUGAAGGCCUUCGGGUUGUAAAGCUCUGUCUUUUGGGACGAUAAUGACGGUACCAAAGGAGGAAGCCACGGCUAACUACGUGCCAGCAGCCGCGGUAAUACGUAGGUGGCAAGCGUUGUCCGGAUUUACUGGGCGUAAAGGAUGCGUAGGCGGAUUUUUAAGUGAGAUGUGAAAUACCCGGGCUUAACUUGGGUGCUGCAUUUCAAACUGGGAAUCUAGAGUGCGGGAGAGGAGAAUGGAAUUCCUAGUGUAGCGGUGAAAUGCGUAGAGAUUAGGAAGAACACCAGUGGCGAAGGCGAUUCUCUGGACCGUAACUGACGGUGAGGCAUGAAAGCGUGGGUAGCAAACAGGAUUAGAUACCCUGGUAGUCCACGCCGUAAACGAUGAGUACUAGGUGUAGGAGGUAUCGACCCCUUCUGUGCCGCAGUUAACACAAUAAGUACUCCGCCUGGGAAGUACGAUCGCAAGAUU